AGCAGCCGCGGUAAUUCCAGCUCCAAUAGCGUAUAUUAAAGUUGUUGCAGUUAAAAAGCUCGUAGUUGAAUUUCGGAAUCUGUUCAUCGGUCGGGCUUCACUGUCCGUACUGGUGUGGUGGAUUCCUACUUUCUGAAUAACCAGCAUGCCAUUAACUUGGUACGCUGGGGAAGCAGGACCAUUACCUUGAAAAAUUAGAGUGCUCAAAGCAGGCCAGUGCCUGAACACAUUAGCAUGGAAUAAUAAAAUAGGACGGCAUGGUUCUAUUUUGCUGGUUUCUAGGAUCACCAUAAUGAUUAAUAGGGAUAGUUGGGGGCAUUAGUAUUCAAUUGUCAGUAGGUAGA
rnacentral:rRNA from 1 species